GGUUACUUGUGGCUCAGUUGGUAGAGCAUGGCACUUCCAACACCAGGGGCGUGGGUUCGAUUCCCACGGGGACCA